rnacentral:rRNA from 1 species
CAGCAGCCACGGUAAUACGGAGGGUGCAAGCGUUAAUCGGAAUUACUGGGCGUAAAGCGCACGCAGGCGGUCUGUCAAGUCGGAUGUGAAAUCCCCGGGCUCAACCUGGGAACUGCAUUCGAAACUGGCAGGCUAGAGUCUUGUAGAGGGGGGUAGAAUUCCAGGUGUAGCGGUGAAAUGCGUAGAGAUCUGGAGGAAUACCGGUGGCGAAGGCGGCCCCCUGGACAAAGACUGACGCUCAGGUGCGAAAGCGUGGGGAGCAAACAGGAUUAGAUACCCGUGUAGUCCCUGUCUCUUAUAA